GGCGUUGAAGCCUCAGAGACCAACUUUGGGCUGCUUUAAUAGUGAGAGAAAAACAUUCAUUUCGGAAGCCCAGAGGGCUGAGGAAGGAACUUUGUCGCGGCCGCGCCAGCGACAUUUUUGUCUGGUUGGAAGCUGGAAUCUUGUAUUUUCGGGGCUGCCCCUGAGUUUUGUGCUUUAUUUUCGCACAGAAACUUGAGCGAGUCCAUUUUGGAGAAAGAAGCCGUUUUCUGAGGUUUGAAGCUGGGAAUCAGAGCGAGCUGGGGCCGAUUUUACAGAUUCGGGCUCGUUUCUGGCGCUGUGCUGCGGCCCAGAGAAAGGGGAACGCGGCGGCGGCGAUGGGACGCCCGGACAGGGUGGGGACGCCCUGGGGAGUCAAAAUUUUCAUCAAGUGCUUCUGUAUGUAUCGAGACUGAAAAGUGACCAAAACUUUUCACUAUAAAAGCUUCAGUAUCACAGGGACAUCAUGACGUCCUCAAAAAGUACACACACACUUCUAAGAAGAUGUGACAAUCUGCACUGAUAUGAGCUGCAAGGGUCAUCCCAGAGUCAGAGCUCCCUUGGGAUUGGCUAAAGCCCUGCUGUGACUGCACUGCAGCUCAACUUCUGCUCAAAUUCUCUUUGCCACAAUGACUGAUCCACGAAUUCUCCAGUAAACUCCUUGCAUGCUUAUCUCUGUCUCAGAGUCUGCUUUCCCAGAGAAAAAUUGUUUCCUUGGAAGUGCUUUUUCACAGCCAUUAUGGAGUCUUCACAGCUCAGGGGAGUCCUUCCAUCCCCAACUACUGCAACAAGCCGGUCUCCAGGACUUGCCAAUGCUGAUGAAGUCCAGUGAAGAACUUCUCCAGGCCAGUCUCAUUCCAACCACCCGCUUAUGCUGAACAGUUUGAAGAUUUGCUGAAGCAUCUGAUGGAGGAGAGCAGUGAUUUGAGCCUUCUGGACCUUGCUGCCAUCUACCAGAAACAACAGAAGACCAUUGGAACCAGCUAAAUGUCCAUCGGUAGGGGACUAAUCAAAUAAUGUAGGACACACCCAUUCAAUGGGAAACAGUACAGCUAUUUAAAAAGAUAAAGCAGUUAUCUAUAUAUGAAUGAGAAGAUCUCCAAGUUAAAAAAGAUAGAUGCAGAACAGUGAGUAUAGUAUGCUAUCUUUUAUAUUAAAAAAGGGGGAGAAUGUAAUAAAAUAAUGUACCUAUAUUCUCAUCAGUUGACAUAUGCAUAAAGAAACUGGAAGGAUUUAAAAGACAGUAAUAACUUCAAACUGUGGAAAAGGUUGGAAGCAGUUGUGUCAAAGUAUACAUUUAUUCAUAUGCCCGAAUUCCAAUUUACUAGUAAUUUAAAAAAUGUAAGUUAGCAAAAUAUCCAUAAAGGGAAAAGAUCAGUAGCAGGGAAAUACACACUCAAACAUUGCUGGUGACAGUAUUUUGGAAAAAAAAAAAUUGUCUUCAAUCAGCAUUCUGCCCUUAGGAUUUAUCCAAAAACAGGUAAAGUUUUGUGCUCAGAUUUUAUAAAACAGUGGAAAACAAGAAAGUAUAUAUUCAGGAACAAAUGAUGGGCAAGGGAACUAUAGUAUGUGUAGUUAUCAGACAAUUGUGUAUCCAUUUAAAAAUUUGUGAGUAGAAAACAAAAGCACGAAAAAUUUACUGAUGAUGGAAUUCCAUUGAGUGGCAAAAAUUCAGGCUAAAUUACUUACAUAGCAUAGUAACAAUUUGGUAUUUUAAAAGAGGCAAAUGACAUGUUUUAAAUGAUUAAAAUUUGAAACU